UAAAUAUUUGAAGCAGUACCGAGUGGCAGUUGUGGGAAUACACUCUCCACCAUGAGAUCAAUAAUACCUCUUCUCUCCGCCUGUCUGGUAGCAUCGGUAGCUGCCAAAAAAAGUAGCGGUAACUGUCCCGACCUCGACGGCAUAGACAUAAGCAUCAGAGAUUCAUACUGUGACCAGCCUCUCUUUGUGACAUUUGCGCCAAAAACUGAAGAAUACACUUUAGUAGACAACAUUUGUAUCACGUUUCUUCCCGCUUCCAGAUAACCCUGACACUUUCCAAGUCUACUAUUCUCGUGUUUUUUGUGAUGGAUCGAACGACAUAUCUUCACUUAUUUCCACUCAAAUUGAACUUGGGGUCAGUAGAAUAGCAAGUUAUUGGAAAAUAUUAUCACAGAAAUACACCAACAUCCACAACAACAGCAACACAAUGAGUAAACAAACAGAAGCAAAACCAAACACCACUACAUGGAAAAUUAUCUAUAGGUGAAUGGCUAACUGACAAUACUAUUUAUCAACUGAGUGCAUUCACAAUCUCCCUACAUCACAAUUGAUUGUCAUUUUGGUUGUCCUAGCGGGAUUGUGACAUGUCUUGGGUGGAAUAAUACAUUUUACGACCCGUAUUGCACUUUGACGGAAACCAUUUUCGGCUAUGCAGGCUGUGACACGUACCUUACUUACCGCUGCGUCAAUUAUGGAGCCUGCGCGGACGAACAGUCGAAGACGAAUGUGUUUGGGGUUUCUCCGGUAUGCCGCUCUAUCGGACUCUCCUGUCUUCAUAAAGUCGAGGAGAUUGUCAGCGAAAACGGUCUGCCAGAACAGGACUUCUACGUGUUCCCUAUGAAACUUCCCAACCGCUGUGUCACCCAACAACUCUGCCUUCAGCCCCCUAACCCUUUCUUCAAUUCUGUACAUUCGGGAGUCGCCUUAGUAUAGUUACUGAUACGGCCUUCACUUUUUAAAUUUAUUCUGAAUACGUAAUAAAAUUAUUAAAAUAAGUAUAUCUUAUAAAUUCGAAUCUGUAAAGUAUACUUUGUAUGAAUACUUCGCUUUAUUUCAUAACACACACACACACACACACACACACACACACACACACACACACACACACACACACACACAC